GCAACGGUGCAAGGCCCACUCGAGCACGCUCAGCUAUGACAUGGAAAAAACGAAAACACCACAUUUGCCUCAUUACCCCUCACCACCAACAGCACUUUCUGAGAGUUACUUGCAUGCUGUCGAUCACAAUGUAGGUGCCCGUCCUGCCCACGCCAGCACUGGAAGAAAGGCAGACGCUCAACUAGUACACCUGCUGCUCUACCAGGUCAUGAACCAUGGAUUACAAAAAUUAUCAUCAUCUGAGUCUCCAACGCGCUGAGAAAUAACCUACGUCAACUAUACUAGGUUCUCUCAACAAGAGGGUUACGCUGACAUACAUACGGAUAGCAUUCAGAAACUUCAAUAGGAUCUUCCUCCCUCGUGAGUCUUGAGGGGGAGGGAAGACUGCCCUUCUACCAUACAUAAAAAUAUAAAAUAUGUAUAAAUAUAAAUAAAUAAAAAUAUAGUUACAGA